rnacentral:rRNA from 1 species
AUUGAACGCUGGCGGCAGGCUUAACACAUGCAAGUCGAACGAGUGGCGGACGGGUGAGUCAUGCUUGGGAAUCUAGCUUAUGGAGGGGGAUAACUACGGGAAACUGUCGCUAAUACCGCGUACCAUAGGCUGAGCCCAAGUGGGAUUAGGUAGUUGGUGAGGUAAUGUCUCACCAAGCCGACGAUCUCUAGCUGGUCUGAGAGUAUGACCAGCAACACUGGAACUGAGACACGGUCCAGACUCCUACGGGAGGCAGCAGUGGGGAAGAUUGCACAAUGGGCGCAAGCCUUAUGCAGCCAUGCCGCGUGUAUGAAGAAGGCCUUCGGGUUGUAAAGUACUUUCAGCGGGGAGGCGUUACCCGCAGAAGAAGCACCGGCUAACUCCGUGACAGCAGCCGCGGUAAUUC